rnacentral:rRNA from 1 species
GAUUCUGGCUCAGGACGAACGCUGGUGGCGCGCCUAACACAUGCAAGUCGAACGAAGCUAAAUUAGCUGAAGUUUCGGAUGGAAGCGAAUUUAGCUUAGUGGCGAACGGGUGAGUAACACGUGAGUAACCUGCCCUUCAGUGGGGGACAACAGUUGGAAACGACUGCUAAUACCGCAUAAGACCACAGUGCCACAUGGCACGGUGAUCAAAGGAUUAAUUUUCGCUGAAGGAUGGACUCGCGUCUGAUUAGCUAGAUGGUGAGGUAACGGCCCACCAUGGCAACGAUCAGUAGCCGGACUGAGAGGUUGAUCGGCCACAUUGGGACUGAGACACGGCCCAGACUCCUACGGGAGGCAGCAGUGGGGGAUAUUGCACAAUGGAGGAAACUCUGAUGCAGCGACGCCGCGUGAGGGAAGAAGGUUUUCGGAUUGUAAACCUCUGUCUUCGGGGACGAAACAAAUGACGGUACUCGAGGAGGAAGCCACGGCUAACUACGUGCCAGCCGCCGC